rnacentral:rRNA from 1 species
UAGUUACUUAGAAAGAAGAAUGAUAAAAAAAGAAUAUAUAUAUAAAAAAAGGAAUAUAUAUUUAAAAGAAGAAGAAUCUAAAUGUAGAAUAUAAAUUCAAGGAUUAUAAUUGAAUAAUGAUCAAAUAAUCAAAAAGUCUUGACCAAAAUUAGUGCCAGCAGUAGCGGUUAAACUAUGGAGGCAAACGUUAAUCAUUACGGCUUAAAGAAUCCGCAGUAUGUUUUUUAUUUUUUAAUAAAUUUUUUAAUUAAAAAAAGAAGAAGAAAUAGUGUUUUAUAGAAAGGUUAAAGAAUAAUUUAAGUAGCGAUGAAAUGUGAAAAUCUAAAUUAGACAAAUAAUAGUUGAAGAUAUUAAUCAAGAAUAAAACAGACAUUGAGAGGAUGAAGGCUUAAGUAGUAAACUGGAUUAGAUACCCAAUUAAUUUAAGCAGUCAACAAUGAGUACUAUAAAAGAAAAUAAAAGCGAAAGCUAAGUAUUCCGCCAGGUGAG